rnacentral:rRNA from 1 species
AGGAUCAACGCUGGUGGCGUGCCUAAUGCAUGCAAGUCGAACGGAGCUACCUUCGGGUGGUCACGUGGCGGACGGGUGAGGAACACGUGGGCGAUCUGCCCUGAGAUGGGGGGAUAGCCACCAGAAAUGGUGGGUAAUACCGCAUGAGCUCGUUGGAUUCCGGUCCAACGAGGAAAGUCGCAAGACGUCUUAGGAGGAGCCUGCGGCGGAUUAGCUAGUUGGUGGGGUAACGGCCUACCAAGGCGGUGAUCCGUAGC